CGCGUAGGUAAUCUAUCCUUACAUUUGGGAUAACAUCGGGAAACUGGUGCUAAUACCGAUGGUCUUCAUUGCUUUGGGGCGAUGGAGUAAAGGUGGCCUCUUCAUGAAAGCUACCGUGUAGGGAUGAGCCUGCGUACCAUUAGCUAGUAGGUGGGGUAAUGGCCCACCUAGGCUACGAUGGUUAGCGGGUCUGAGAGGAUGAUCCGCCACACUGGAACUGAAACACGGACCAG
rnacentral:rRNA from 1 species